AGUGAGGCUUGGUUUUGAAUUUUUAUAUUAAAUUGUGCCUAUUCACUUAAUCAUUAAGAAUUAAAACUACCAGGAAUAUGUAAACCCAAACCACCUUAUCUGCAUAUGCUUAUCUACAUAUAAAUACCCUGAAAUAAACUGGAAGAAAAAUAUUUGGAAACUCAGUAUUUAGGUGUGUGAAUUGUUUAUCCUGUAUAAGGAACAGUCAGUAAUUAUUCUUAAACUCUGUUCUCAAACACAGAUCUAAGAACUUCUGGACUUAACAGAAGUCAGUCUGGAUUCAGGUUUUACCAUUAGUGUCAUUUCAGUAAUGGGAAGACACAAAACCCCGUUUGCAAACCUCAGUGAUGAACCCGGCAAAAGUUUGUAUCUUGGUCAAUCAGUUUCAGUUUCCUGCAUGACAUUUAUUUACAAAGCUGGGACACAGUGUUGGCAGCCUCCAGGACGCCAAGAAACAGAGCACUUUCGACUUCCACUUCAGCCAAUGGAAAUUACAAAAGGUACAUGAGAGUAACCAGCAUCCAGAACUACUACCAUCUAUUUUCUUCUUGACAGAGAUAAUCAGUAGGAUACAUCUUAGGAUUAAGUACUACAACAAUAACAAGGCAGAAAUUUUUCUGAUUAAUUCAAGUUACGUUGCCAAAAACUUGAAAAAUCAAACAAAUAUAUCAAAGUUUGUGUAAGACUUGAUGAAUAUCUGAGGAUUAAAGUGUUAAUUUACAUACAUAGCCUUUCCACCAUUACAGCACUUAAUAGUAUAAUGCAUUUAAUAUUUGUGGCUACUGAAUUAACAUUUUUAUUACAUUAAAAUGCAUUUCUUGUAAAAAAAACAGUUUCAAGCUAUUUUGGUCUAUUUCCAGUUUAACUUAAACUAAACUAAUCACAAAAUACAGAUACAUUAUCAGCAAAUGUGAUAAAAGGUUGAAAUCCAUUGUCAAAAAGAAUUUGUAUUCAUAUAGAAACACAUAUUCUUUGUGUAUGGUGUUAUCACUUAAAAAAUACGCUUAAUAAUAAUAAAUAAAUGCUUUAUUCAAUUAAA